rnacentral:lncRNA from 1 species
CGGGAUACUACUACUGGGGUUACUACUACUGGGGAUACUACUACUGGGAUUACAACUACUGGGGAUACUACUACUGGGGAUACUACUACUGGGGAUACUAUUACUACUACUACCGGGGAUACUACUACCAGGGUUACUGCUACUGGGGUUACUACUACUGGGGUUACUACUACUGGGGUUACUACUACUACUGGGGAUACUACUACUGGGGAUACUACUACUACUGGGGUUACUACUACUACUGGGGAUACUACUACCGGGGAUACUACUACCAGGGUUACUGCUACUGGGGUUACUACUACUGGGGAUACUACUACUGGGGAUACUACUACUGGGGAUACUACUACUACUGGGGUUACUACUACUACUGGGGUUACUACUACUACUGGGGAUACUACUACUGGGGAUACUACUACUGGGGUUACUACUACUACUGGGGUUACUACUACUACUACUGGGGUUACUACUACUGGGGAUACUACUACUACUACUAGGGUUACUGCUACUGGGGAUACUACUACUUCUAGGGAUACUACUACUGGGGAUACUACUACUACUACUGGGGAUACUACUACUGGGAUUACUACCACUACUACUACUGGGGAUACUACUACUGGGAUUACUACUACUACUGGGGUUACUACUACUGGGGAUACUACUACUGGGGAUACUACUACUGGGGAUACUACUACUGGGGUUACUACUACUACUACUGGGGUUACUACUACUACUACUGGGGUUACUACUACUACUACUGGGGUUACUACUACUGGGGUUACUACUACUACUGGGGAUACUACUACUACUGGGGAUACUACUACUGGGGUUACUACUACUACUGGGGUUACUACUACUACUGGGGUUACUACUAUUACUACUGGGGAUACUACUAUUACUACUGGGGAUACUACUACUACUGGGGUUACUACCACUGGGGAUACUACUACUGGGGUUACUAAUACUGGGGUUACUACUACUGGGGUUACUACUACUACUACUGGGGAUACUACUACUACUGGGGAUACUACUACUACUACUGGGGAUACUACUACUACUGGGGAUACUACUACUGUGGAUACUACUACUGGGGAUACUACUACUGGUGUUACUAUUACUACUGUGGUUACAACUACUGGGGAUACUACUACUGGGGUUACUACUACUACUACUGGGGAUACUACUACUACUGGGGAUACUACUACUGGGGAUACUACUACUACUGGGGUUACUACUACUACUGGGGUUACUACUACUACUGGGGUUACUACUACUACUGGGGUUAUUACUACUGGGGUUACUACUAUUACUACUGGGGAUACUACUACUACUGGGGUUACUACUACUGGGGACACUACUACUACUGGGGAUACUACUACUGGGAUUACUACUACUGGGGAUACUACUACUGGGGAUACUACUACUGGGGAUACUAUUACUACUACUACCGGGGAUCCUACUACCAGGGUUACUGCUACUGCGGUUACUACUACUGGGGUUACUACUACUGGGGUUACUACUACUACUGGGGUUACUACUACUACUACUGGGGAUACUACUACCGGGGAUACUGCUACCAGGGUUACUGCUACUGGGGUUACUACUACUGGGGAUACUACUACUGGGGAUACUACUACUGGGGAUACUACUACUACUGGGGAUACUACUACUACUGGGGUUACAACUACUACUGGGGAUACUACUACUGGGGAUACUACUACUGGGGAUAUUACUACUACUGGGGUUACUACUACUACUGGGGUUACUACUACUACUACUGGGGUUACUACUACUGGGGAUACUACUACUUCUAGGGUUACUACUACUGGGGAUACUACUCCUACUACUGGUGAUACUACUACUGGGGAUACUACUACUACUACUGGGGAUAUUACUACUGGGAUUACUACUACUACUGGGGUUAUUACUACUGGGGUUACUACUAUUUUUACUGGGGAUACUACUACUACUGGGGAUACUACUACUGGGAUUACUACUACUGGGGAUAAUACUACUACUGGGGAUAAUACUACUACUGGGGAUAAUACUACUACUGGGGAUAAUACUACUACUGGGGUUACUACUACUACUGGGGUUACUACUACUACUACUACUGGGGUUACUACUACUACUACUGGGGUUACUACUAUUACUACUGGGGUUACUACUACUGGGGAUACUACUACUACUACUGGGGAUACUACUACUGGGGAUAUUACUACUGGGGAUACUACUACUACUGGGGAUACUACUACUGGGGAUACUACUACUGGGGAUACUAUUACUACUACUACCGGGGAUACUAAUACCAGGGUUACUGCUACUGGGGAUAAUACUACUACUGGGGAUAAUACUACUACUGGGGUUACUACUACUACUGGGGUUACUACUACUACUGGGGUUACUACUACUACUGGGGUUACUACUACUGGGGAUACUACUACUACUGGGGUUACUACUACUACUACUUGGGAUACUACUACCGGGGAUACUACUACCGGGGAUACUACUACCAGGGUUGCUGCUACUGGGGUUACUGCUACUGGGGAUACUACUACUGGGGAUACUACUACUGGGGAUACUACUACUACUGGGGUUACUACUACUACUGGGGUUACUACUACUACUGGGGUUACUACUACUGGGGAUACUACUAAUACUAGGGUUACUACUACUGGGGAUACUACUACUACUGUGGAUACUACUACUGGGAUUACUACUACUACUGGGGUUACUACUACUGGGGUUACUACUACUGGGGUUACUACUACUGGGGAUACUACUACUGGGGUUACUACUACUGGGGUUACUACUACUGGGGUUACUACUACUACUACUGGGGUUAUUACUACUGGGGCUACUACUACUACUACUGGGGUUCUACUACUGGGGAUACUACUACUGGGGAUACUACUACUGGGGAUACUACUACUGGGGAUACUACUACUGGCGAUACUACUACUGGGGUUACUACUACUACUGGGGUUACUACUACUACUGGGGAUACUACUACUGGGGAUACUACUACUGUGGAUACUACUACUGGGGAUACUGCUACUGGGGAUACUACUACUACUGGGGAUACUACUCCUACUGGGGAUACUACUACUACUGGGGAUACUACUACUACUGGGGAUACUACUACUACUGGGGAUACUACUACUACUGGGGUUACUACUACUACUGGGGUUAUUACUACUGGGAUACUACUACUACUACUACUACUACUGGGGUUACUACUACUGGGGUUACUACUACUGGGGACACUACUACUACUGGGGACACUACUACUACUGGGGUUACUACUACUGGGGACACUACUACUACUGGGGACACUACUACUACUGGGGUUGAUACCACUACUGGGGUUGAUACUACUACUGGGGUUGAUACUACUACUGGGGUUGGUGAUACUACUACUGGGGUUGAUGAUACUACUACUGGGGACACUACUACUACUGGGGUUACUACUGGGGUUACUACUACUACUGUUGAUACUACUACUACUGGGGAUACUACUACUACUGGGGUUACUACUACUACUACUGGGGUUACUACUACUACUACUACUGGGGUUACUACUAAUACUGGGGUUACUACUACUGGGGAUACUACUACUACUGGGGAUAAUACUACUGGGGUUACUUCUACUGGGGUUACUUCUACUAGUAUUGCCACUACUAGGAUUGUUACUACUGGUGUUACUACUACUGGGAUUACUACUACCGGGAUUACUACUACUGGAAUUAAUACUACUGGGUUUGCUACUACUGGGGUUACUACUACUACUGGGAUUACUAUUACUGGGAUUACUACUACUGGAAUUAAAACUACUGUGAUUGCUACUAAUGGGUUUACUAAUACUGGGAUUACUAAUACUGGAAUUAAUACUACUGGGAUUGCC